AGUAAUACAUCGGAACGUACCCAGUUGUGGGGGGAUAGCUCGGCGAAAGCCGGAUUAAUACCGCAUACGACCCAUGGGUGAAAGCGGGGGAUCGCAAGACCUCGCGCAGUUGGAGCGGCCGAUGUCAGAUUAGCUAGUUGGUAGGGUAAAAGCCUACCAAGGCGACGAUCUGUAGCUGGUCUGAGAGGACGACCAGCCACACUGGGACUGAGACACGGCCCAG
rnacentral:rRNA from 1 species